rnacentral:rRNA from 1 species
AACGCUGGCGGCGUGCUAACACAUGCAAGUCGAACGAAGCACCUCGCCCGAUGAAAUGGAGUGCUUGCACAAAGUGGAAUCAAUUGAGGUGACUGAGUGGCGGACGGGUGAGUAACGCGUGGGUAACCUGCCCUAUACAGGGGGAUAGCAGUUGGAAACGACUGAUAAUACCGCAUAAGCGCACAGGACCGCAUGGUCUGGUGUGAAAAACUCCGGUGGUAUAGGAUGGACCCGCGUCUGAUUAGCUAGUUGGUGAGGUAACGGCUCACCAAGGCGACGAUCAGUAGCCGACCUGAGAGGGUGACCGGCCACAUUGGGACUGAGACACGGCCCAAACUCCUACGGGAGGCAGCAGUGGGGAAUAUUGCACAAUGGGCGAAAGCCUGAUGCAGCGAACCGCCGCGUGAGUGAUGAAGUAUUUCGGUAUGUAAAGCUCUAUCAGCAGGGAAGAUAAUGACGGUACCUGACUAAGAAGCACCGGCUAAAUACGUGCCAGCCGCCGC